UUAUGUGAGCUAGUAGCCUAGUAGUGAUUUGGUCCUAGGAAUAGUUUAUUCUUGAUUCAAACGGAUCCGCGCUACGAGUUAGGCGAAAACUAAAAAACGAGAAGAGUGUAAUUCGAGUGUAACAAAACGAAAAAAGAAAAACACUCAACCACAAAAUGUGAAGCCCUAGAAAUAGCCACAAUAGAGAGUGUAAAAGCUAGAUGUAGAAAAAGAGUGAGCGGCAGAGCUGUGGCGAUUUUGAUUUGAAGGGUUUCAAAGUUCAGAUCCAUAUUUGAUUUUUGUGAUAAUUAUACCAGAGAGUUGUUAGAAGAGAAUUUGAUAGAUAGAUCCAAGUUGUUUAGGCUGUUUUGUUCUUAAGAAAGGUUCUCAAGGAAAACAAGAAAAAAGAGAUGGGUUUUUCUACGGAUCAGUUGUAUGAUCAUUGGUAUGAGCGGAGUCGGAAUUUGGGAUUUUAACCUCAUAAAGAGGCGAAAGGAAAGAGCAAAUGAAGCAGAGAGAGGUUUCAACACUAGCCAUUCUCCACAAUUGUUCUACAAAUAUCCCACGUCUCUCAUGCAUAAAGAUGCUUCUGAAAAUCUCAGAAGCAACAAGUUCCAGCGGAAUUGACUCAGGUCCACAUUAAGACCGACUGGAAUAGAGCAGAAGUUGAGGCGAUCUGCACAAAGACCUCAAGUGGAAAUUUCGGCGAUUCAGGCCGAGACAGAGCUGGAACAUGUCGGAAAGCAGGAAAACAUCCGAAUGGGGAUGGCAAAUAAAAAACGGCUCGAGCGGACUCGGAAAUUUGGUAAGCACAUUUAUUUUGGAGUUGUGAGCAGAAUCCUUGAUUCUACAUUUAGUGUCAUCAUACUUGUUUCUUUGUUGAGUGAGUCCUUGAUUGUUAUCGGACUAUGAGGUUGGUAUGCAAGUAUAGUUGAUGAGAUUAGUUUGCAGGGGGUUUCUUAAUGGUUUGAAGCAAUCUUUGUACUUACCGGAUAAUUACAUUGUAGAGGAUGUCAAGAAGCAUGUCCAGGUUAUGCGGCUGAACUUUUCGAAGAGGAAUUUGCCAAGUUUGGGAGUGUGUAUACACCCAAUCAACUGAUUACAGAAAUGAGUUAUGGUGUGACAAUCAGUUAGCACUAGUGGUUGCAAGCACGACAUAUAACUGAUCAGAGUUUGUGUCAACAAUGUCAUCAGCUCUAAUAAAGGCAGACCUAGAAAAGGGAUAGACAGAUGUGUGGGAAGGAGUAUGAGUCAGAGGGAAUUGUGUUUGAGUACUUCUUGAGGUCAGGUCAUGAGCUAUUGAAGGGGCAGUCAUAGUUUUCUUGGCUAUCAUCAUGAGAUUCUUAAGGCAACAAAGGCUAAUGGAGAAGACAGUUCACAGAUGAUAAAGGGUAUGGUUUUAAAUCUGGGUUUUCAUUCAGAAAUUUGAAGGUUUCUUUGGUUUUUUGUAAUACUUCACACGGAAAGUUUGAUAAUUUCAAUCAGUCUGUAUUUUUCACUGAAGUGUUAUAGAGAUCCUAACUAGUGUAGGGAUUUGAUGAUGUUUAUUAGGCAAGUGGGUAUUCAUUCAGAAACUUGAAGAUUUACUUGGUUAUUUGUAAUACUUCACACGGGAAGUUUGAUAAGUUCAAUCAGUCUGUAUUUUUCUCUGAAGUGUUAUAGAGAUCCUACCUAGAGUAGGGAUUUGAUGAUGUUUAUUAGGCAAGAGAGAUGGUUUAUCUCUGUUGUUAUUGGGAAUCAAUUAAAUUAUCUGGUUGAA